GGUACACAAUCUGCCCGCAAUGCAGGAGAUUCAGCCCCUAGGUCAUCAAGCUCCCCCAGAGGAGGGCAUGGCAACCCACUUUAGUACUCUUGCCCAGAGCCUGGCAGGCUGCAGUCCAUAGGGUCACACAGAGUAGGACACUACUGAUUUGACUAGGCAGCAGCAGCAGCAGCCACACGCCAGGGCUUCCCUGUAGCUCAGCUGGUUAAGAAUCCACCUGCAAUGCAGGAGACCCUGGUUCGAUUCCUGGGUUGGGAAGUUCCCCUGGAAAAGGGAUAGGCUACCCACUCCAGUAUUCUUGGGCUUCCCUGGUGGCUCAGAUAGUAAAGAAUCUGCCUGCAAUGCAGGAGACUUGGGCUGGGAAGAUCCCCUGGAGGAGGGCAUGGCAACCCACUCCAGUGUUCUUGCCCGGAAAAUGCCCAUGGACAGAGGAGCCGUGGCAGGGUCGCAUGGGGUUCAUGGGGUCACAGAGAGUCAGACACAACUGAGCCACUAAGCACAGCACAGCCCAGCCACAAGCCAAGGAAUACCUGAGUCACCAGGAGCUGGGAGAGGCCGAGAGGGAUUCUUCUCUACAGCUUUCAGAGGGAGUGUGGUUCCACCAAAGCCCUUAUUUCUGCCUACUGGCCUCCAGAACUCCAGAAAACUCUCUUAUUUUAAGUCAUCAAGUUUGUGAUCAUUUGUUAUGGCAAACAAAGGAAAGCAAAUACCCUCUGAUUGCACAUUAUCAUUGUUAUCUACCUACGGUAAUAUUAUUAAGCUUGUGAGUAUUAUUUGAAAAUGUAUGAAGUUGGCAUGGGGUAUGACAGGUUUUCAUGCGGUGGUGAUUUUGCUGGUAAAAGACACUUGGCAACAUCUCUGCUGUCAUAAUGGUGGGAGGGAGCACUACUCGUUUCUAGUGGGAGGAGCCAGGGGUGCUGCAGAACAUUCUGCAAUACAGAGGAUGGUCCCCAUCCCCAAAAAGAAUUAUCCAGCCUCCCAUGUCAGUAGUGCAGAGACUGAGAAAGCCUAAUGUAUGAGAAAGCCUCGCGUUGUGAGAUUAAACCCUUAGCUCUGCCAUGAAUUUGUUAGACAAUUUACCAGGCAAUAAACCUCUUGGAGCUGUUUAGUUUUCUCAUCUGUAAAACAUGAUGGCACUAACACCUGCCAGAGCAUUAUGCAAUCCCAAUGAGAUAAUGUUGGUCAAAGAAUGUUAUACUUUGGGUUCUUUAACAGUAAUGGAGAGGCUUUCAUUAUUAUUAUCCCUAUAUUUCUUUAGUGGAAGCAAAGGCAAACCUUUGAUUUUUAAUUACUACCGUCAGGAAGUUCCCAAUGAAUGGAUGCACUGAGCCACAGGAGACUCCGUUUUUGGUUUGGAACUAAACCUUCAACAUCUGUGAGGAUGAAGUGAAGUGAAGUCGCUCAGUCCUGUCCAACUCUGCGACCCCAUGGACUGUAGCCUACUACGCUCCUCAGUCCAUGGGAUUUUCCAGGUUUCUCCGUCCCUGCUUGCAAGCAAGUAGAGAUGGCAAGAUUCUAGCUUGACGCUCCUCAUCCCUUGGGUCAGCAGUUUUGUUCUGUCCCUGCCGCCAUUCUCUGCCUGGUCUCAACAUCCAGGGACACAACAAACCUUUUCUUCUUAAACAUCUCAUGUAAGUGCAAGCACCUGGUACAUAGCUGGCAUGUAAACAUUUUUACCUUUUCCUUUGUAUAAAGUCCAAGGAUUUAUUUUUAGGCUCUCUGUGUCCUCUGAUCUCUCCGUGACAUUUAAUACUGUUGACUUCCAUCUCACUGAAUUUCUCUUUAAGUUUUCAUGUUAUCACUCUUUACAAAUUUCAGUUUUACCCUGGUAUUCAUUUCCAUUUCCAAGUCAACAAUACAGGACUGUCUUUCCGGCCAUACAGGCGUACCUUAUUUGACUGCGGUUUGCUUUACUGUGCUUCCCAGAUAUUUUGUUUCUGACAAAUAGUGAAGGUUUGUGGCAACUGUGCAGCGAGCGAUUUUUAUUGCCCACUUUGUGUCUCUGGGCCUUGAUUUGGUAAUUCUUGUGCUACUUCAAGCUUUUAAAGUAUUACUAUAUUUGCUAUGGUCAUCUGUGGUCUUUGAUGUUCCUAUUGCAAAAAGACUACAGCUUGUUGAAGGCUAAGGUGAUGGUUAG
ensembl:lncRNA